UACAGAGGUCCCAAGCGUUGUUCGGAUUUAUUGGGCGUAAAGGGUGCGUAGGCGGCGGAGUAAGUUGGGUGUGAAAUCCCGGGGCUCAACCUCGGAAUUGCAUUCAAUACUGCUUCGCUUGAGUACUGGAGAGGAGACUGGAAUUUACGGUGUAGCAGUGAAAUGCGUAGAUAUCGUAAGGAAGACCAGUGGCGAAGGCGGGUCUCUGGACAGUUCCUGACACUGAGACACGAAGGCCAGGGGAGCAAACGGG
rnacentral:rRNA from 1 species